rnacentral:rRNA from 1 species
GUAUCCUACGGGAGGCAGCAGUGGGGAAUAUUGCACAAUGGGGGAAACCCUGAUGCAGCGACGCCGCGUGAGUGAAGAAGUAAUUCGUUACGUAAAGCUCUAUCAGCAGGGAAGAAACACUGACCUUACGGUCAGCAGACGGUACCUGAGUAAGAAGCCCCGGCUAACUACGUGCCAGCAGCCGCGGUAAUACGUAUGGUGCAAGCGUUAUCCGGAUUUACUGGGUGUAAAGGGAGCGCAGGCGGUGCGGCAAGUCUGAUGUGAAAGCCCGGGGCUCAACCCCGGGACUGCAUUGGAAACUACCG